rnacentral:lncRNA from 10 species
UGCAGGGAAGACCUAUGAAAAGGGUGAGAAAGGGCACAAGUUGCAGUAACAGUGUAAACAAAGCCAGAAAAAUUGCAAAGGUGUGUGCGUGUGUGAUCAUGCCCUGAUUCUUGUAUAGUUAAUUUCACCCCAGGCUUCUCAAACAGCACAGCCACAUGAUGUUUCAAAAAGUCCAAGUGGAACCUCUUCGGAAAGAUGCCCCACCAUUGGCAGAGGCUGUGACCUUUUUCCUCAGAUUCCCAAUCCUGCUCUGAGUUACUCUAAUGAAAACAACAGAAGAAAUACAAGAAAGAUUCUAACAUAGAAAAAAAUGUUCAACCUCACUGAAAACCUGUGUACUCGGCAGCCAACUUAAGAAACAGAAACUUUGAUGGCAGAGGUGGGCGGAUUACUUAAGACCAGGAGUUCGAGACCAGCCUGGCCAACAUGGUGAAACUCCAUCUCUACUAAAAUUACAAAAAUUAGCUGGGUGUGGUGGUGCAUGCUUGUAAUCCCAGCUACUUGGGAGGCUGAGGCAGAAGAACCACUUGAACCCAGGAGGCUGAGCUUGCAGUGAUCUGAGAUCCUGCCACUGCACUCCUGCCUUGGCAACAGAAUGAGACACUGUCUCAAAACAAAACAAAAAAAGAAAUAGAAACUUUGCAUCUUUCUCUCCCAUUCCAAUUAAUUACUAUACUGAAGUUUGUAUUAGUAAAUCCUUUGAUUUUCAUUAGUUUGUGUAUCCUUAUUGCUUAAGCAAUAUAUUGUUUAGUUUUGCCUCUUUUUUACCUUUACUGUAUUUUUACUCUUACUAAAUAUAUAUUUCUAUGUCUUGCUUUUUACACUCAAUAUUGUUUGAAGCUUGUCUGUGUUGAUGCAUGUAACUGUAGUCUGCCCAUUUUCCUUGAUGGAUAGCAUUCCGAUAUGUAAAUUACCAACUUGCUCGGAGGUGCAGCCAUUAAAUCCUCAUUUUGAGCAAUCACCCCAAGUAAGACUGAUGCAGGUGGACUUUUGCUCACACUUCGGGAAUUACUGUCUUAGAGGACACAGUCCGAGCUCUUACCUCCCAGUUUCCCAAGUCUCUACAUCAGCCUUUUAAUUUUAGUAGAACUGUUUGUUUUCCUUUUCCAAAAAUAUUUUCUCAUCAUUCUUCGCCUAGAUAAUUCUUAUGCUUUAAGUCUCUCCAUUAAGCUAUAAACUCCUCCAAACAUUGUCAUUAUUAUCAUUGUUGUCACUGACAUUUAUGGAGCAGAUACAGUGUACCAGGUAGUUAGUACAAAGAGUUUUACAUGGAUCAUCUCAUUAAUGCUCGUCCAAACCCAUGAAAAAGGUGCUGGGAUUAGCAUCAUUUUACAGAUAAGGAAGUAAGGGUCAGAGAGAUUAAGUAACUUGCCCAAAGUUAAACAGCUCUGGAAUGUGGAUCUCUUUAACUAUCUUACUUGUCUCUGAACCUCUAGGAUCUAGGGUAGGACUUUGGUGUGUGGAAGGCACUUGAUUAAUGUCUGUUGAGCUGCACUGAAAGGAAAAGCCAAGGAGACCAGAUGGAAAACAAUCCGUUUAGUUCAGAUGAUGGCAGUGGGGAUGGAAAAGAGGAGCUGGAAAUAAGACUUGGCAUGACAGACUAUUACAUAGCUGAAUCUGGGGCGUGAGGUUAGGGCAGGGAAUGAGGAAGGGACAAGGCAUUUCCAUUUUUUCACUUUGAGCACUUCUGUAUUUUCUGGAAAUGUUUACAACAAGCACGUGGUGCUUUAAUAAUUUUUUUUAAAGAAGAGAAAGUGUAGAGGCAGCAACUACAUGACUAGGCACCAGCAAAAUAUAGAAAAAAAAGGACAAAAAGAAAUCCAAGCUGACCAGCAGGCUUCUGGCAAGGCAAUGUAGGAGAAUGGGGAAUUGAAGGCAGAAAGAGAAAUGCCUGGGGGAAUGCUUCCGGGGGAGAUACUGACUGUAAUUUGGAGAGUCUGCUUUUGGGAAGCAGCAGGUCAUUCUGGGGAGGUCUCCACCAAGUAGCUAGACUUGUAGGUCUGAAAUUCAGGAGAGAGGUUGAGCCAGACCCAUGCUCUGAGAAAUGAUGGUUGAAGUCAUAAGCUAAAUGUGCGGAGCAAAAAAGAAAGAAGAAAGAAGACCUCAACCAAAGUGUUGACAGGGUCAGGCAUAUCUGAGUGGAAGAAGAAGAGGAGCCAGGCCAGGCGCGGUGGCUCAUGCCUAGAAUCCCAGCACUUUGGGAGGCCGAGGUGGGCAGAUCACCUGAGGCAGGAGUUCAAGACCAGCCUGGUGAAACCCCCAUCUCUACCAAAAGUACAAAAAUUAGCUGGGCCUGUAGUCCCAGCUACUCUGGAGGCUGAGGCACCAGAAUCCCUUGAACCUGGGAGGUGGAGGUUGCAGUGAGCUGGUGAGCCAAGAUCCUGCCACUGCACUCCAGCCUGGGCAACAAAGCAAGACUUUGUCUCAAAAACAAAACAAAACAAAACAAAACAAAACAAAAAAAUCCAGAGGAGCCAGGGAAGGUACUUGAAGAGGAGCAGCCAGAAAUGUAGGAGAAUCAUCUCUCAACCUCAUAGUCACCAAUGGAAAAGAUAAUUUUUUUAAAAAGGCAUAUGGGCCUGGUGCAGUAGCUCACACCUGUAAUCCCAGCGCUUUGGGAGGCCAAGGUGGGAGAGUUGCUUGAGGUCAGGAGUUCAAGACCAGCCUGGGCAACAUAGGGGAACCCUGUCUCUAGCAAAGUUAUUAUUAUUAUUAUUAUUAUUAUUAUUGGAGAUGGAGUUUCGCUCUUGUCACCUGGGCUGGAGUGCAAUGACACGAUCUCAGCUCACUGCAACCUCCGCCUCCCAGGUUCAAGUGAUUCUCCUGCCUCAGCCUCCCGAGUAGCUGGGAUCACAGGCGCCCACGACCACGCCUGGCUAAUUUUUGUACUUUUACUAGAGACGGGGUUUCACCAUAUUAGCCAUGCUGGUCUCAAACUCCUGACCUCAGGUGAUCCACUCGCCUGGACCUCCCAAAGUGCUGGGAUUACAAGCAUGAGCCACCACACCUGGCCUCUACCAAAAAUUUUAAAAGGCCGGGCUUGGUGGCAUGUGCCUGUAGUCCUAGCUGUUACUCAGGAGGCUGAGACAGGAGGAUUGCUUGAGUCUGGGAGGUUGAGGCUGCAGUGAGCCAUGAUCGCACCACUGCUCUCCAGCCUCAGCAAAAGAAUGAGACCCCAUCUCUAAAAAAUAAUAAACAUAUGUAAAUGGCAUCAAACAGUAAAGAGUUGUUGAAUCAGAAGAAGACUAACAAGAGGCCUUCAGAUGUGGAAAUUAAGUCUUUUUUUUUUUUUAAGAGACAAGUUCUAGCUCUGUCACGCAAUCUGGAGUACGGUGG